GACGAACGCUGGCGGCGUGCUUAACACAUGCAAGUCGAACGGAAAGGCCCUGCUUUUGUGGGGUGCUCGAGUGGCGAACGGUUGAGUAACACGUGAGUAACCUGCCCUUGACUUUGUGAUAACUUCAGGAAACUGGGGCUAAUACCGGAUAGGAGCUCCUGCUGCAUGGUGGGGGUUGGAAAGUUUCGGCGGUUGGGGAUGGACUCGCGGCUUAUCAGCUUGUUGGUGGGGUAGUGGCUUACCAAGGCUUUGACGGGUAGCCGGCCUGUGAGGGUGACCGGCCACAUUGGGACUGAGAUACGGCCCAGACUCCUACGGGAGGCAGCAGUGGGGAAUAUUGCACAAUGGGCGGAAGCCUGAUGCAGCAACGCCGCGUGCGGGAUGACGGCCUUCGGGUUGUAAACCGCUUUCGCCUGUGACGAAGCGUGAGUGACGGUAAUGGGUAAAGAAGCACCGGCUAACUACGUG
rnacentral:rRNA from 1 species